rnacentral:lncRNA from 1 species
GCCUCCCGGCCACGAGCCUCCCAAAUCCUGACAGCACCGCCGACCUCCAGGGUCGCCCUUCCCGCCGUCCUCCUGGCUCUGUCCGCUCGCACACACUCGUCCACUGCCGGGGAGCCUCGGCCUCGGCGGUGGCCUCCGCCCGACCCCGCGGCUCCCUCCCGGACCUCCCGACCCUGCUCCAGGUCAGCGGGGCCCCUCGCCCUUCAGGCCCCAUCUGGGGUCCUGGCCACCCGCACCUGCCGGCAGGCUUCCCGGGCUGCGCAACCACAAGCGGCUCCUCUUCCCGAAAGCCGCCCCCUCCUCGGGCCGCUUCCCGCAGCGCCGUGCCCCCCGCGCUCCGCAGGAGGACCCCGACUCACCCCCGCCUCCGCCAUCUUCUGGGACCGCUCCGCCCCCUCCGCCUCUCCCGGCUCCCCUCCCACAGUCCGCGGGCGCUCCACUGCGCCUGUGCAGGCCACGAGGCGGCGCUCCCACGGUCGGGGCCGCGGAACUUCCGGUUCCCGCCCGCCCUUGCUGCGGCGCCGGCGACGCGGGGCAGAGGGGCUUCCGGUCGGCCCCGAGUCGGCGGCCGCCUGUGGGCGUGGACUGCUGGGACGGUGGGAGGCGGCUAGGUCAGCUGUUGUUUGCCGACCCGGCGGGCAGUCGAGGGUUGUGAGGGCUGCCUGGGCCCUGUGGGCGGUGCCGGGGAAUCGCGCGCUGACACACGCAGGCUCCCUGGGAGGCGUGAUCCUCGGCAGCACUUUACAAGGUUUUCAUCGAAAAUCGUUCCCCACGUUCCACCAAGUAGCCCAGUUCGGGGACAGCUGUAUUCAUAGGAAGGACCUACCUCAGGCCUGA